UCCCAAGGCUAAAUACUCCCUAGUGACCGAUAGUGAACCAGUACCGUGAGGGAAAGGUGAAAAGCACCCCGGAAGGGGAGUGAAAUAGAACCUGAAACCGUGUGCCUACAACAAGUCAAAGCCCGUUAAUGGGUGAUGGCGUGCCUUUUGUAGAAUGAACCGGCGAGUUACGAUUGCAUGCGAGGUUAAGUUGAAGAGACGGAGCCGCAGCGAAAGCGAGUCUGAAUAGGGCGUUUGAGUAUGUAGUCGUAGACCCGAAACCAUGUGAUCUACCCAUGUCCAGGUUGAAGGUGCGGUAAAACGCACUGGAGGACCGAACCCACGUACGUUGAAAAGUGCGGGGAUGAGGUGUGGGUAGCGGAGAAAUUCCAAACGAACUUGGAGAUAGCUGGUUCUCUCCGAAAUAGCUUUAGGGCUAGCCUCGGAAUUGAGAAUGAUGGAGGUAGAGCACUGUUUGGACUAGGGGCCCAUCUCGGGUUACCGAAUUCAGAUAAACUCCGAAUGCCAUUCAUUCAUAUCCGGGAGUCAGACUGUGAGUGAUAAGAUCCAUAGUCGAAAGGGAAACAGCCCAGACCACCAGCUAAGGUCCCAAAAUAUAUGUUAAGUGGAAAAGGAUGUGGGGUUGCACAGACAACUAGGAUGUUGGCUUAGAAGCAGCCACCAUUUAAAGAGUGCGUAAUAGCUCACUAGUCGAGUGACCCUGCGCCGAAAAUGUACCGGGGCUAAACAUAUUACCGAAGCUGUGGAGUACACCUUUAGGUGUAUUGGUAGGAGAGCGUUCUAAGGGCGUUGAAGGCAGAUCGUGAGGACUGCUGGAGCGCUUAGAAGUGAGAAUGCCGGUAUGAGUAGCGAAAGACAGGUGAGAAUCCUGUCCACCGAAUGACUAAGGUUUCCUGGGGAAGGCUCGUCCGCCCAGGGUUAGUCGGGACCUAAGCCGAGGCCGACAGGCGUAGGCGAUGGAUAACAGGUUGAUAUUCCUGUACCCGUUGUUUUUGUUUGAGCAAUGGAGGGACGCAGGAGGCUAAGGAAUGCAGACGAUCGGAAAUGUCUGUCCAAGCAGUAAGUCUGAAGAGGAGUCAAAUGCUUCUUUUCUUAAGGACAAGCUGUGAUGGGGAGGGAAAUAAUAGUACCGAAGUUCCUGAUGUCACACUGCCGAGAAAAGCUUCUAGUGAGAAAACAGCGGCCCGUACCGCAAACCGACACAGGUAGUCGAGGAGAGAAUCCUAAGGUGAGCGAGAGAACUCUCGUUAAGGAACUCGGCAAAAUGACCCCGUAACUUCGGGAGAAGGGGUGCUGAUCAUACGAUCAGCCGCAGUGAAUAGGCCCAAGCGACUGUUUAUCAAAAACACAGGUCUCUGCAAAAUCGUAAGAUGAAGUAUAGGGGCUGACGCCUGCCCGGUGCUGGAAGGUUA
rnacentral:rRNA from 1 species